AUACAUGCAAGUCGAGCGAAUGGAUUAAGAGCUUGCUCUUAUGAAGUUAGCGGCGGACGGGUGAGUAACACGUGGGUAACCUGCCCAUAAGACUGGGAUAACUCCGGGAAACCGGGGCUAAUACCGGAUAACAUUUUGAACCGCAUGGUUCGAAAUUGAAAGGCGGCUUCGGCUGUCACUUAUGGAUGGACCCGCGUCGCAUUAGCUAGUUGGUGAGGUAACGGCUCACCAAGGCAACGAUGCGUAGCCGACCUGAGAGGGUGAUCGGCCACACUGGGACUGAGACACGGCCCAGACUCCUACGGGAGGCAGCAGUAGGGAAUCUUCCGCAAUGGACGAAAGUCUGACGGAGCAACGCCGCGUGAGUGAUGAAGGCUUUCGGGUCGUAAAACUCUGUUGUUAGGGAAGAACAAGUGCUAGUUGAAUAAGCUGGCACCUUGACGGUACCUAACCAGAAAGCCACGGCUAACUACGUGCCAGCAGCCGCGGUAAUACGUAGGUGGCAAGCGUUAUCCGGAAUUAUUGGGCGUAAAGCGCGCGCAGGUGGUUUCUUAAGUCUGAUGUGAAAGCCCACGGCUCAACCGUGGAGGGUCAUUGGAAACUGGGAGACUUGAGUGCAGAAGAGGAAAGUGGAAUUCCAUGUGUAGCGGUGAAAUGCGUAGAGAUAUGGAGGAACACCAGUGGCGAAGGCGACUUUCUGGUCUGUAACUGACACUGAGGCGCGAAAGCGUGGGGAGCAA
rnacentral:rRNA from 1 species